GAUUUAAGUGAAUAGCCUAGCUAUCUCACCCCCUCUCGUUCUCUUGCAGAACUUUGAUUUUAACGAACUUAAAUAAUAGCCUUGCUGUGUGCGUGUUGUGUUGUGGUCUGCAGCGUUUAGGCGCCGGGCUUCAAGCUUCAUGCUCAACACUGGGCAUAAUUAAAUAUACUAAAUAAUAAUAUUUUUCAUUCUGAGCUAUCGUGUCUCUUGUACUUCUCGGUCACAAUACCCUGUUCCGUCAGGUGCGUGGCAAUCCGGGGCAUACUAUGCUUUCCAAGGCUAGUGUGACCACGCAAGGUGCGCGUGGUAAG
rfam:Bat coronavirus HKT4-1, complete genome.